CCUCCGGAAGUGACGCACAGCCCCCCGGGGGGCCGGGGGCGGGGCCAGGCUAUAAACCGCCGGUUCGGGGCCGCCAUCCCCUCAGAGCGUCGGGAUAUCGGGUGGCGGCUCGGGCCGGAGGACGCGCUAGUGUUCUUCUGUGUGGCAGUUCAGAAUGAUGGAUCAAGCUAGAUCAGCGUUCUCUAACUUGUUUGGUGGAGAACCAUUGUCAUAUACCCGCUUCAGCCUGGCUCGGCAAGUGGAUGGCGAUAACAGUCAUGUGGAGAUGAAACUUGCCGUAGAUGAAGAAGAAAAUGCUGACAAUAACACAAAGGCCAAUGUCACAAAACCGAAAAGGUGUAGUGGAAAUAUCUGCUAUGGGGCUAUUGCUGUGAUCGUCUUUUUCUUGAUUGGAUUUAUGAUUGGCUACUUGGGCUAUUGUAAAGGGGUAGAACCAAAAACCGAGUGUGAGAGACUGGCAGGAACCGAGUCUCCAGUGAGGGAGGAACCAGGAGAGGACUUCCGUGCAGCACCUCGCUUAUAUUGGGAUGACCUGAAGAAAAAGUUGUCAGAGAAGCUGGACACCACAGACUUCACCAGCACCAUCAAGCUGCUGAAUGAAAAUUCAUAUGUCCCUCGUGAGGCUGGAUCUCAAAAAGAUGAAAAUCUUGCAUUGUAUGUUGAAAAUCAGUUUCGUGAAUUUAAACUCAGCAAAGUCUGGCGUGAUCAACACUUUGUUAAGAUUCAGGUCAAAGACAGCGCUCAAAACUCGGUGAUCAUAGUUGAUAAGAACGGUAGACUUGUUUACCUGGUGGAGAAUCCUGGGGGUUAUGUGGCGUAUAGUAAGGCUGCAACAGUUACUGGUAAACUGGUCCAUGCUAAUUUUGGUACUAAAAAAGAUUUUGAGGAUUUAGACACUCCUGUGAAUGGAUCUAUAGUGAUUGUCAGAGCAGGGAAAAUCACCUUUGCAGAAAAGGUUGCAAAUGCUGAAAGCUUAAAUGCAAUUGGUGUCUUGAUAUACAUGGACCAGACUAAAUUUCCCAUUGUUAACGCAGAACUUUCAUUCUUUGGACAUGCUCAUCUGGGGACAGGGGACCCUUACACACCUGGAUUCCCUUCCUUCAAUCACACCCAGUUUCCACCAUCUCGGUCAUCAGGAUUGCCUAAUAUACCCGUCCAGACAAUCUCCAGAGCUGCUGCAGAAAAGCUGUUUGGGAAUAUGGAAGGAGACUGUCCCUCUGACUGGAAAACAGACUCUACAUGUAGGAUGGUAACCUCAGAAAGCAAGAGUGUGAAGCUCACUGUGAGCAAUGUGCUGAAAGAGAUAAAAAUUCUUAACAUCUUUGGAGUUAUUAAAGGCUUUGUAGAACCAGAUCACUAUGUUGUAGUUGGGGCCCAGAGAGAUGCGUGGGGCCCUGGAGCUGCAAAAUCCGGUGUAGGCACAGCUCUCCUAUUGAAACUUGCCCAGAUGUUCUCAGAUAUGGUCUUAAAAGAUGGGUUUCAGCCCAGCAGAAGCAUUAUCUUUGCCAGUUGGAGUGCUGGAGACUUUGGAUCGGUUGGUGCCACUGAAUGGCUAGAGGGAUACCUUUCGUCCUUGCAUUUAAAGGCUUUCACUUAUAUUAAUCUGGAUAAAGCAGUUCUUGGUACCAGCAACUUCAAGGUUUCUGCCAGCCCAUUGUUGUACACACUUAUUGAGAAAACAAUGCAAAAUGUGAAACAUCCGGUUACUGGGCAAUCUCUAUAUCAGGACAGCAACUGGGCCAGCAAAGUUGAGAAACUCACUUUAGACAAUGCUGCUUUCCCUUUCCUUGCAUAUUCUGGAAUCCCAGCAGUUUCUUUCUGUUUUUGUGAGGACACAGAUUAUCCUUAUUUGGGUACCACCAUGGACACCUAUAAGGAACUGAUUGAGAGGAUUCCUGAGUUGAACAAAGUGGCACGAGCAGCUGCAGAGGUCGCUGGUCAGUUCGUGAUUAAACUAACCCAUGAUGUUGAAUUGAACCUGGACUAUGAGAGGUACAACAGCCAACUACUUUCCUUUGUGAGGGAUCUGAACCAAUACAGAGCAGACAUAAAGGAAAUGGGCCUGAGUUUACAGUGGCUGUAUUCUGCUCGUGGAGACUUCUUCCGUGCCACUUCCAGACUAACAACGGAUUUCGGGAAUGCUGAGAAAACAGACAGAUUUGUCAUGAAGAAACUCAAUGAUCGUGUCAUGAGAGUACCAGAAUGUAUUUCUCCAGUCACCUGCUGAAGGACAUGUCGGUCACCUCCAGUUUCUGAGGGCGGAGCCAGGUGUACAGGAUGGAACAUGAAGGUGGACUAGGAGCGUGACCACUGAAGCACAGCAUCACAGGGAGACGGUUAGGCCUCUGGAUAACUGCGGGAAAGCCUGACUGGUGUCAGGCCCUCCACAAGAGGUGGAGGAGCAGAGUCUUCUCUAAACUCCCCCGGGGAAAAGGAGACUCCCUCUCCCGGUCUGCUAAGUAGCGGAUGCUUUUCCUUGGCACUGAUGCUACCACUAGACACGGGCGUCUUCCCAGACGCUGGCGUCACCACUAGACCAGGGAGCCCUCUAGUAGCCCUGUCCGGGCAUAACAGAAGGCUUGCACUCCUGUCUUCUGGUCACUCCUCACUAUGUCCCCUCAACUCCUAUCUCUGUAUGGCCUAGUUUUUCCUAGGUUAUGAUUAUAGAGCAAAGAUUAUUAUAAUAUUGGGAUAAAGAGUAAUUACUACCAACUAAUGAUUAAUGAUAUUCAUAUAUAAUCAUAUCUAAGAUCUACAUCUAGUAUAACUCUUGUUAUCUUAUAUAUUUUAUUACACUGGAACAGCUUGUGCCCUCAGUCUCUUACCUUGGCACCUGGGUGGCUUGCCGCCCACAUUUCUAUAAACAUUUGUGUGCAAGUUUGUGUGUGGACAUAACUCUUCAACUCCAUUGGGUAAAUAAUGAGGAGCACAAUUGCUAAAUCUUAUGACAAGACUAUGUGAGCUUUGUAAAAAACUGCCACACUGUCUUCCAAAGUGGCUGUGCCAUUUUGCAUUCCCACAGCAAUGAAUGAGAGUUCCUGUUGUUUCACAUCCUCACCAGCAUUUGGUGCUUUCAUUCUUGUGGAUUUUGGCCAUUCUGAUAGGUGUGCAGUGGUAUCUCAUUGCUGUCUUAAUUGGCAAUUCCUAAUAACAUAUUAUGCAGAGCAUCUUUUCAUAUACUUAGUUUCCAUCUGCAGAUCUGUUCAGCUUUUGCCCAGUUUUGAGUUGUUUGUUUUCUUAUUGCUGAGUUUUAAGAGUUCUUUGCAUAUUUCAGAUAUGAAUCCUUAGAUAUAUUUUGCAAAUAUUUUCUCACAGUCUGUGAUUUGUCUUUUGAUUCUCUUAACAGUAUCUUUUGCAAAACAAAAGUUUUUCAUGUUAAUGAAAUUAAACUUUCCAAUUUUUUCUUUGUGGAUCGUGCUUUUGGUGUUGUAUCUAAAAAAAAAAUCACCAAAUCCAAGGUUAUCUAGAUUUUUUCCUUAUGUUAUCUUCUAGAAUUUUGAAAAUUUUACAUUUCAUAUAUUGGUCUAAUAUCUACUUUGCAUUAACUUUUGUAAAAAGUAUAAAGUCUGUUUACGUAUUAUUUUUUGCAUGUGGAUGCCCACUUGUUCCAGAACCAUUUGUUAAAAAGACUCCUUUCUCCAUUGAAUCGUUUUUGCUCCUUUGUCAGAAAUCAGUUGGCUGCAUUUCAGUCUGUUUCUGGGCUCUCUGUUCUGUUUCACUGAUGGAUGCGUAUGUGUCUUCUGUUUUGCCUUCAAUUUAAAAAAAAUCUAAAUAUCUACUUGCUGCCUCAAUUUGCUUAUGAAUUCUCAUUUGUAAACAGAAAAGCAUAAAUUAAUGCCUGAGUAUCUUUUGGGGUAGAUGUUGCAUUGAAUACAGUGAGCAGAAUGAGUUAUAACCUUAAAGUGAAUAUAAAAAUUUGACCAUAGUGGUAAGAGAUUUGCGCACUAGUGACUUCAAUGACAGAGUCCAUUGCAAUAUCGCUUCCUCCUUCGGCUCAGCUCUGCUUCACACCAGACAACGACCAAUCCCUUCUGUGCUUCAUUCAAGGAUUUCUGUGGGGUGGAAAGCAGAAAUAUCAUGAGCUCAGUGGAGGGAGAGAAGGCAGUUUCCCAGGCUGGGAGCAGUCAGUUCUCUGGUGGGUCCCAACACUGCUCUGUAGCAAUGCCUAGAGGGCGAUGGAAACGGUGAAAAUGAGGUGGGUGCCGGCCCCAGGGUUCCCAGUGUUAUCAGGUCCCCGUGGUCUAUAAGAUGCCCGGAAAUGAGAUCUUCUGGGUUUUGGGGGCCCCUGUGGAGUUGGAAAAUAAGAAAGUGAGCAGUGACAAUCCAGACUGGUUAUUAGAGGUACAUCUCCCAUUUUUCAGAAACCAAGGAGCCUUUGAUUAGUAGUGAAAUUGUGGCACUGCAACAGUGGUGGAGUGGAAUGUCCUGCCAUUCUGGAUGGGUGAUGGCUCGGGGUCAAGACUGAAUUCAUUAGAAAAAAAAAGAAGUUUUUUUUUUUUCCUAUCUGAGUUUGUGAAUGAAGAGCUCCACUGCUGUGAAAUGUGCAAAUCAUUGGCUGUUGUUUCUCAUGUGCAUUUCAGGAGUAUCAAGUCCAAAACGAAGCUCUUCAAACCAUCUGGGAAGAGAAAACAGCAUGACAAGGAAAGGUGUAUUUGUCUGAUCCCAGGAAUCAAUAUAAACAUCCAUGAUAACCCCACCUAUUUUUUUAAUGUAUGAUUUGGACGAAACAAGAGAAAGAGACUGAUUGCUGCUGAGUCCCUGCUGCGGUCCCGACACCGCUGGAGACGCCCUGCUCUCCUUAUUCUGUUGAUGCUCAUGAGAAAGACACUGAUGUCUGAGGAAGAAGGUUCUCGUCCACCUCUGCCCCUGGUGUGUCACGUGCCGGCCUUGUCAACGCACACAAGAACCUGACAGGCCUCAGCGCUACAUGCCCUGGGUGGCCCAUGCAGUGAGUCACUGACAGCCCUUGUGGUGGGCCCGUGGCACAGCAUGCAGCGAAAUGGUCCACUGACCUUUGCAGACACUUGGGCAAUUCUUGAUACAGUGUAUGCAGUCACUCCCGAUCCUUGAAGAAUUGCCACACUGUCUUCCACAAUGGUUGAACUCAUUUACACUCCCACCAACAGUGUAAAAUCGUUCCUGUUUCUCCACAUCCUCUCCAGCAUCUGUUGUUUCCUGACUUUUUAAUGAUUGCCAUUCUAACUGGUGUGAGAUGGCAUCUCAUUGAGGGUUUCAUUUGCAUUUCUCUAGUGACCAGUGAUGAUGAGCUUGUGUUCAUGUAUUUUUCAGCCGCAUAAAUGUCUUCUUCUGAGAAGUGUCUGUUCAUAUCCUUCGCCCACUUUUUGAUGGGGUUGUUUGUUUUUUUCUUGUAAAUUUGUUUAAGUUCCUUGUAGAUUCUGGAUAUUAGUCCUUUAUCAGAUGGGUAGAUUGCAAAAAUUUUCUCCCUUUCUGUAGGUUUCCUGUUCACUCUAAUGGUGGUUUCUUUUUUUUUCUUUUGUAUUUUUUUUUGAGACAGAGUCUCACUCUGUCGCCCAGGCUGGAGUGCAGUGGCACAAUCUUGGCUCACUGCAAGCUCCGCCUCCCGGGUUCACACCAUUCUCCUGCCUCAGCCUCUCCGAGUAGCUGGGACUACAGGUGCCCGCCACCAUGCCUGGCUAAUUUUUUGCAUUUUUAGUAGAGACGGGGUUUCACCGUGGUCUCAGUCUCCUGACCUCGUGAUCCACCUGCCUCGGCCUCCCAAAGUGCUGGGAUUACAAGCGUGAGCCACUGUGCCCAGCCUAUGGUAGUUUCUUUUGCUGUGCAGAAGCUCUUUAGUUUAAUUAGAUCCCAUUUGUCAAUUUUGGCUUUUGUUGCCAUUGCUUUUGGUGUUUUAGUCAUGAAGUCUUUGCCCACGCCUAUGUCCUGAAUGGUAUCGCCUAGGUUUUCUUCUAGGGUUUUCAUGGCUUUAGGUCUAACAUGUAAGUCUUUAAUCCAUCUUGAGUUAAUUUUUGUGUAAGGUGUAGGGAAGGGGUCCAGUUUCAGUUUUCAGCAUGUGGCUAACCAGUUUUCCCAACACCAUUUAUUAAAUAGGGAAUCCUUUUCCCAUUGCUUGUUCUUAUCAAGGUUGUCAGACAUCCUAAACUUUUUAAUUUAAGAAUUUACAUUUUUUAAAGUAACUGACAAUCAUUUAAAAAUCCAUGACUUAAAAAAUAAUAAUUCCUCCUAUGUUUUCAACCAAGAGAAGUGAAAAUCUGUUUACACAAAGGCCUGAAUAUAAGUAUUCAUAACAACUUUCUUCUUAUUAGCCAAAUAUUUUUAAAAUAGUCUAUCACUGCAGAAUAGAUAAACAAGCUGUAAUAUAUUCCUACAGUGGUUAUUGCCCAACAUAAGAAGAGUGACAUACACACCAGAAACCACAUGGACAUAUCUCAAAGGCAUUAAAAUAUAUGAAAUAAACCAGGUAUAAGAUAA